rnacentral:rRNA from 1 species
CCGGCUAUCUACGUGCCAGCAGCCGCGGUAAUACGUAGGGGGCAAGCGUUAUCCGGAUUUCUUGGGUGUAAAGGGAGUGUAGACGGCGUUGCAAGUCUGAAGUGUAAUGCCGGGGCCCACCCCGGGAAUUGCUUUGGAACCUGUGCAGCUAGAGUGCAGGAGGGGUGAGCGGAAUUCCUAGUGUAGCGGUGAAAUGGGUAGAUAUUUGGAGGAACACCGGUGGCGAAGGCGGCUCUCUGGUCUGUAACUGACGUUGAGGCUCGAAAGCGUGGAGAGCAAACAGGAUUACAUACCCUGGUAGUCCACGCCGUAAAAGAUGAUUACUAGGUGUGGGGGGGCCAAGGCCCUUCGGUGCCGGCGCAAAACGCAUUAAGUAAUCCACCUGGGGAGUACGUUCGCAAGAAUGAAACUCAAAGGAAAUUGACGGGGACCCGCACAAGCGGUGGAGCAUGUGGUUUAAUCCGAAGCAACGCGAAGAACCUUACCCGGCCUUGACAUCCCGAUGAAUGUACAGUAAUGUGUACAGGACUUCGGUACAUCGGAGACAGGUGGUGCAUGGUUGUCGUCAGCUCGUGUCGUGAGAUGUUGGGUUAAGUCCCGCAACGAGCGCAACCCCUGCCCUCAGUAGCCAGCAGGUAAAGCUGGGAACUCUGAGGGGACUGCCCGGGAUAACCGGGAGGAAGGCGGGGAUGACGUCAAAUCAUCAUGCCCCUUAUGGCCGGGGCUACACACGUGCUACAAUGGCGGAAACAGAGGGAAGCAGCCCCGUGAGGGUGAGCGAACCCCAAAAAUACCGCCUCAGUUCGGAUUGUAGUCUGCAACCCGACUACAUGAAGCCGGAAUCGCUAGUAAUCGCGAAUCAGAAUGUCGCGGUGAAUACGUUCCCGGGUCUUGCACACACCGCCCGUCA